GACGAACGCUGGCGGCGUGCUUAACACAUGCAAGUCGAACGGAAAGGCCCUGCUUUUGUGGGGUGCUCGAGUGGCGAACGGGUGAGUAACACGUGAGUAACCUGCCCUUGACUUUGGGAUAACUUCAGGAAACUGGGGCUAAUACCGGAUAGGAGCUCCUGCUGCAUGGUGGGGGUUGGAAAGUUUCGGCGGUUGGGGAUGGACUCGCGGCUUAUCAGCUUGUUGGUGGGGUAGUGGCUUACCAAGGCUUUGACGGGUAGCCGGCCUGAGAGGGUGACCGGCCAAAUUGGGACUGGAAUACGGCCCAGACCCCUACGGGGGGCAGCAGGGGGGAAUAUUGCAAAAUGGGGGGAAGCCUGAUGCAGCAACGCCGCGGGCGGGAUGACGGCCUUCGGGUUGAAAACCGCUUUCGCCUGGGACGAAGGGUGGGUGACGGUAAUGGGUAAAGAAGCACCGGCUAACUACGU
rnacentral:rRNA from 1 species